rnacentral:rRNA from 14 species
CGAAAGCGAGUCUUAAUAGGGCGUCUAGUCGCUGGGAAUAGACCCGAAACCGGGCGAUCUAUCCAUGGGCAGGUUGAAGAUGCGGUAACACGCAUUGGAGGACCGAACCGACUACCUUUGAAAAGUUAGCGGAUGACCUGUGGAUCGGAGUGAAAGGCUAAUCAAGCUCGGAGAUAGCUGGUUCUCCUCGAAAACUAUUUA